rnacentral:tRNA from 1 species
GCUCUUGUGGUGAAAUGGAUAUCACGUGGCCCUCCGGAGCUAAGUUCUAGGUUCGAUUCCUAGCAAGAGCGCCA